UAAAACUCAAAUGUAGUUCGCUGAGGAUGAAGCGAGUUGCGGAAAAGACAUCUAUAUAUACCCGGAAAAUGCAAAGAAUUGUGACUUGUUAGAUAAAAAGGGGGACAACGAGGUGCGCAAUUUCGUUGCAAUGUUUACUGUAAACAAUGAGUAAUUGUGUAUUGCUGGUUGCUAGGCCACAACACCAACGAGGAGCUUGCGACCAAACUUUGAAGACCGUUUAUUGGCUAAACUUGUACGUUUACGAGUAAUUUGACUCUCGUUAAACACAUUGGCAUGACAACAAGGCGUUCGACUCUUUACAGAUUGAGAAU